rnacentral:rRNA from 1 species
AGGAUGAACGCUGGCGGCAUGCCUAACACAUGCAAGUCGAACGGUCCUUUUAGGACAGUGGCGGACGGGUGAGUAACACGUUGGUACCUUCCCCGGAGUGGGGGAUAAUUCGCCGAAAGGCGGACUAAUACCCCAUGGUCUUGCACUUGUUGCAAGUAAAGAUUUAUUGCUCUGGGAUGGGCCUGCGGUUGAUUAGCUUGUUGGUGAGGUAAUGGCUCACCAAGGCGACGAUCAAUAGCUGGAUCGAGAGGUUGACCAGCCACACUGGGACUGAGAUACGGCCCAGACUCCUACGGGAGGCAGCAGUGAGGAAUUUCCGCAAUGGGCGAAAGCCUGACGGAGCAAUGCCGCGUGAAGGAAGAAGCCUUUCGGGGUGUAAACUUCUUUUAUCAGGGAAGAAGACAUGACGGUACCUGAUGAAUAAGCAUCGGCUAACUACGCGCCAGCAGCCGC